rnacentral:rRNA from 1 species
GACGAACGCUGGCGGCGUGCCUAAUACAUGCAAGUUGAGCGAUGAAGAUUGGUGCUUGCACCAAUUUGAAGAGCAGCGAACGGGUGAGUAACGCGUGGGGAAUCUGCCUUUGAGCGGGGGACAACAUUUGGAAACGAAUGCUAAUACCGCAUAACAACUUUAAACAUAAGUUUUAAGUUUGAAAGAUGCAAUUGCAUCACUCAAAGAUGAUCCCGCGUUGUAUUAGCUAGUUGGUGAGGUAAAGGCUCUCCAAGGCGAUGAUACAUAGCCGACCUGAGAGGGUGAUCGGCCACAUUGGGACUGAGACACGGCCCAAACUCCUACGGGAGGCAGCAGUAGGGAAUCUUCGGCAACGGACGAAAGUCUGACCGAGCAACGCCGCGUGAGUGAAGAAGGUUUUCGGAUUGUAAAACUCUGUUGGUAGAGAAGAACGUUGGUGAGAGUGGAAAGCUCAUCAAGUGACGGUAACUACCCAGAAAGGGACGGCUAACUACGUG